rnacentral:rRNA from 2 species
ACAGGUGGUGCAUGGUUGUCGUCAGCUCGUGUCGUGAGAUGUUGGGUUAAGUCCCGCAACGAGCGCAACCCUUGUCUUAUGUUGCCAGCACGUGAUGGUGGGGACUCAUGAGAGACUGCCGGGGUUAACUCGGAGGAAGGUGGGGAUGACGUCAAAUCAUCAUGCCCCUUAUGUCCAGGGCUUCACACAUGCUACAAUGGUCGGUACAACGCGCUGCGAGCCUGUGAGGGUGAGCGAAUCGCUGAAAGCCGGCCUCAGUUCGGAUUGGGGUCUGCAACUCGACCCCAUGAAGUCGGAGUCGCUAGUAAUCGCAGAUCAGCAACGCUGCGGUGAAUACGUUCCCGGGCCUUGUACACACCGCCCGUCACGUCAUGAAAGUUGGUAACACCCGAAGCCAGUGGCCUAACCCUUGUGGGGGGAGCUGUCGAAGGUGGGAUCGGCGAUUGGGACGAAGUCGUAACAAGGUAGCCGUACCGGAAGGUGCGGCUGGAUCACCUCCUUU